ACGGGUGAGUAACACGUGGGCAAUCUGCCCUUCACUCUGGGACAAGCCCUGGAAACGGGGUCUAAUACCGGAUACCACUUCCACUCGCAUGGGUGGAGGUUGAAAGCUCCGGCGGUGAAGGAUGAGCCCGCGGCCUAUCAGCUUGUUGGUGAGGUAACGGCUCACCAAGGCGACGACGGGUAGCCGGCCUGGGAGGGCGACCGGCCACACUGGGACUGAGACACGGCCCAGACUCCUACGGGAGGCAGCAGUGGGGAAUAUUGCACAAUGGGCGAAAGCCUGAUGCAGCGACGCCGCGUGAGGGAUGACGGCCUUCGGGUUGUAAACCUCUUUCAGCAGGGAAGAAGCGAAAGUGACGGUACCUGCAGAAGAAGCGCCGGCUAACUACGUGCCAGCAGCCGCGGUAAUACGUAGGGCGCAAGCGUUGUCCGGAAUUAUUGGGCGUAAAGAGCUCGUAGGCGGCUUGUCACGUCGGGUGUGAAAGCCCGGGGCUUAACCCCGGGUCUGCAUUCGAUACGGGCUAGCUAGAGUGUGGUAGGGGAGAUCGGAAUUCCUGGUGUAGCGGUGAAAUGCGCAGA
rnacentral:rRNA from 1 species